rnacentral:misc_RNA from 1 species
CCAUCAAGCCUAGCUUGUCGUUGGACCCCUUUUGCCGCUGAAAUAUGUGGCAGGUCCGAAAGAAAAUGACGGUGUCGUGUUUGACCCUAGAUGCAACGAGCUUUUUAUAGCACGCAUUGAAGUGGUCGGGCGACCUAGUCUUAACCAUUAUUUUUCUAAAGGUUGACCUCGGAUCAGGUAGGAAUACCCGCUGAACUUAA